UACGUAGGGUGCAAGCGUUGUCCGGAAUUAUUGGGCGUAAAGAGCUCGUAGGUGGUUUGUCGCGUUGUUCGUGAAAACUCACAGCUCAACUGUGGGCGUGCGGGCGAUACGGGCAGACUAGAGUACUGCAGGGGAGACUGGAAUUCCUGGUGUAGCGGUGGAAUGCGCAGAUAUCAGGAGGAACACCGAUGGCGAAGGCAGCUCGCUGGGACGGUACUGACGCUGAGGCGCGAAAGCGUGGGGAGCAAACAGG
rnacentral:rRNA from 1 species